AGUGAACGCUGGCGGUAGGCCUAACACAUGCAAGUCGAACGGCAGCACAGUAAGAGCUUGCUCUUACGGGUGGCGAGUGGCGGACGGGUGAGGAAUACAUCGGAAUCUACUUUGUCGUGGGGGAUAACGUAGGGAAACUUACGCUAAUACCGCAUACGACCUACGGGGGAAAGCAGAGGAUCUUCGGACCUUGCGCGAUUGAAUGAGCCGAUGUCGGAUUAGCUAGUUGGCGGGGUAAAGGCCCACCAAGGCGACGAUCCGUAGCUGGUCUGAGAGGAUGAUCAGCCACACUGGAACUGAGACACGGUCCAGACUCCUACGGGAGGCAGCAGUGGGGAAUAUUGGACAAUGGGCGCAAGCCUGAUCCAGCCAUGCCGCGUGGGUGAAGAAGGCCUUCGGGUUGUAAAGCCCUUUUGUUGGGAAAGAAAAGCAGCAGGUUAAUACCCCGCUGUUCUGACGGUACCCAAAGAAUAAGCACCGGCUAACUUCGUG
rnacentral:rRNA from 1 species